CGGGCAGUAGCGCAGUCUGGUAGCGCACUUCGUUCGGGACGAAGGGGUCGGAGGUUCAAAUCCUCUCUGCCCGACCA
rnacentral:tRNA from 2 species